CAUCAAUAUCAAUAUACUUCAAAUCCAAACGAUAAUAAUGAAUAAUAUUACGUACAUAAUAUACAGAGAGUGUUUCACUAAGCGUGCUCACCCCAUUGUUUUGGUUUAAUUUUGCACGUAUUCAUAUUCUGAUUUUUGGAAUUUUUAAGCAUAAUUAAAGCCGAUAUUUUCGAAUACUUAGAUUAGUCACAACAUUUAAGGAGUAUCCAUGUGUCGAUACCAACUUUGGUUUUUCAAAUGAGAACCUAUAUUAAAAAUACCAUAAACUGACGGAGUAUUACUUUAAAUACAUUUUUGGUAUUAAAAUUGUUCGAUUUCAGUCGACCCGUUGACGAGCCGUUCAGUUUUAAGUUUAGGCAGGGAAAGAGUAGUGGAGCACUAAUAAAAUGUCAUGCGCCGUGUCACCACUAGUGGUGGGAAAAAUCCGGAUUUGCCGAAGUUCGAAAAUCCGGAUUUUCGCAAUCCGAAAAAUUUCUCUUAAGACAUAUAAUAAUUUUCAUCGCAGAUACCUACCAAACAAAAAUGCAUACAAAAACACAAAUGUAUCAAAUAAACGCAAUAGCCUGAAAAUAACUAGUU